UACGUAGGUCCCGAGCGUUGUCCGGAUUUAUUGGGCGUAAAGCGAGCGCAGGUGGUUUAUUAAGUCUGGCGUAAAAGGCAGUGGCUCAACCAUUGUAUGCAUUGGAAACUGGUAGACUUGAGUGCAGGAGAGGAGAGUGGAAUUCCAUGUGUAGCGGUGAAAUGCGUAGAUAUAUGGAGGAACACCGGUGGCGAAAGCGGCUCUCUGGCCCGUAACUGACACUGAGGCUCGAAAGCGUGGGGAGCAAACAGG
rnacentral:rRNA from 1 species